GAGACCCACGCCAACAGUUGCCAGCACGUUCUCCGGAAUGGUGGGGACACUGUUGGGACCGCCUCUGCUAAAGAGGAGGAAGGAAUGGGCAACGGUAGGUCAGCAUGCCCCGAAUUACCCGGGCUACACGCGGGCUACAAUGGACAGGACAAUGGGAAUCGACACCGAGAGGUGAAGGCAAUCCCCUAAACCUGCCCUUAGUUCGGAUUGUGGGCUGCAACUCGCCCACAUGAAGCUGGAAUCCGUAGUAAUCGUGUUUCAAAAUAGCACGGUGAAUAU
rnacentral:rRNA from 1 species